UACGUAGGGGGCAAGCGUUGUCCGGAUUUAUUGGGCGUAAAGAGCGUGUAGGCGGCCAUACAGGUCAGCUGUGAAAACUCGAGGCUCAACCUCGAGACGUCGGUUGAAACCGUAUGGCUAGAGUCCGGAAGAGGAGUGUGGAAUUCCCGGUGUAGCGGUGAAAUGCGCAGAUAUCGGGAAGAACACCCGUGGCGAAGGCGGCACUCUGGGACGGUACUGACGCUGAGACGCGAAAGCGUGGGGAGCGAACAGG
rnacentral:rRNA from 1 species